UACGUAGGGUGCGAGCGUUGUCCGGAAUUACUGGGCGUAAAGAGCUCGUAGGCGGUUUGUCGCGUCGUCUGUGAAAUUCUGCAACUCAAUUGUAGGCGUGCAGGCGAUACGGGCAGACUUGAGUACUACAGGGGAGACUGGAAUUCCUGGUGUAGCGGUGAAAUGCGCAGAUAUCAGGAGGAACACCGGUGGCGAAGGCGGGUCUCUGGGUAGUAACUGACGCUGAGGAGCGAAAGCGUGGGUAGCGAAC
rnacentral:rRNA from 2 species